UAGAUUACGUGUUGGAGCCAGAUUAGAU
rnacentral:sRNA from 1 species